GUCUCUGUAGUACAAUGGAUACCAUGUUGGACUUCUAAUCCAAAGGUCGUGGGUACGAAUCCCACCUGGGAUG
rnacentral:tRNA from 1 species